AUAAAGGGUGCUUGCUACUUCCAUGGCAUGCGAGACCUCGCGGUCUGGUAGGGUAUGGCCAUCAAGACAUACCCAGCACGUAAUUUUUGUCUCCAAGGACAGUUGGUAGUCAAUACUCCGGCGUCCGG
rnacentral:snRNA from 1 species